rnacentral:tRNA from 1 species
GCCCCCGUAGCUCAGCGGUAGAGCGCCCGGCUGUUAACCGGUAGGUCGUGGGUUCGAAUCCCACCGGGGGCG